ACAAGGAUGGCUCAGCUACUGGGGCACGUGUAGAUGUGCUCUUCUUUUGGCUCUUGCUGAAGUCCUUAAGGGCUUUGUCCACUCCCUUCACAAGGUUAUCACAAAUUUGUUGGACAUCAAUUUGAAAGGGUUUCCUUUUUGGAUCACCCACAUCUCUGGUUGUUUUUCUCCUUACAGCUGGCUGUUCCUGCACACUAACAAACUCAUCAAAAUAAUUCAAAGGAUAUUUAAAAGGAGUUUGAGAGUUAGAAUUUCGUUGAGGCUUCUCCUUGUUACUUUUCCUUUGCAAACCAAACAUCAUAAACCUGGAAAAUCUCAACACAAAAGUUAGUAGAUAAAAACCUCACACUCUCAAGUGUUUGAUCCUCACCCACACAAGUGUUUCUCUCAGAUUUAGGUGAUCACACACAAGUUUUUACUCAAUGUUCUAAGAGAACAAAUCAAAGAAUCCCAAUGGGCAAAUCCAAGCAAACAAGGGAAUUUUCUCAAGAUAGAAAGAUAAGAGAUUUUUGAUUUUUGAAAUCCGUUUUAACCACCUCAAAGGCUGGAUUUAUCCUCAGCCAGCAGGCUUUCUCUUCCACCACCAAUCCACAAAACAAACUUUGAACUUUUUUUUUUUUUUUUUUUUUUGAAUUAAAUCGUAAAUCUUUUUUUUUUAUAUAUAUGGAUGGUAAUGAGGGGCCCAGAUUUAAGAAAGGUAGAAGAAGAAGUGUUUGAAGAAGAUGGAGAGAUGAGAAGAUGGAAUGAUAAUAGAGUUACCGAGAGAGUGGCUCUGAUACCACUUGAUAGAACCAAAAUAAGGAUCACUCUUCGGUAAGGUUGAUAUGAACU
rnacentral:lncRNA from 1 species